UACGUAGGGUGCGAGCGUUGUCCGGAAUUACUGGGCGUAAAGAGCUCGUAGGGGGUUUGUCGCGUUGUUCGUGAAAACUCACAACUCAAUUGUGGGCGUGCGGGCGAUACGGGCAGACUAGAGUGCGGUAGGGGAGACUGGAAUUCCUGGUGUAGCGGUGAAAUGCGCAGAUAUCAGGAGGAACACCAAUGGCGAAGGCAGCUCGCUGGAACGGUACUGACGCUGAGGCGCGAAAGCGUGGGGAGCGAACAGG
rnacentral:rRNA from 1 species